rnacentral:rRNA from 1 species
GAUGAACGCUAGCGGGAGGCCUAACACAUGCAAGCCGAGCGGUAUUUGUCUUUCGGGACAGAGAGAGCGGCGUACGGGUGCGGAACACGUGUGCAACCUGCCUUUAUCUGGGGGAUAGCCUUUCGAAAGGAAGAUUAAUACCCCAUAAUAUAAUGAAUGGCAUCAUUUAUUAUUGAAAACUCCGGUGGAUAGAGAUGGGCACGCGCAAGAUUAGAUAGUUGGUGAGGUAACGGCUCACCAAGUCGAUGAUCUUUAGGGGGCCUGAGAGGGUGAUCCCCCACACUGGUACUGAGACACGGACCAGACUCCUACGGGAGGCAGCAGUGAGGAAUAUUGGACAAUGGGUUAGCGCCUGAUCCAGCCAUCCCGCGUGAAGGACGACGGCCCUAUGGGUUGUAAACUUCUUUUGUACAGGGAUAAACCUACUCUCGUGAGAGUAGCUGAAGGUACUGUACGAAUAAGCACCGGCUAACUCCGUGCCAGCCGCCGCCGUAAAAC